AAUCGAAGUCCCUUCUAUUUGAAGGAUGAGCAAAACGAGAAUAAGGACUUCCAAACUGCAUUGGAUCGCUCAUUACAAGCUCUUCCUGUGGCUGUUGUUGAGAAGAUACGGAUGAUGAUGAUGAAGAUGAGUCUCUACCUAAUUGUGGAGGGCGAGGAGGAGGAGGAGGAGCAGCAGCAACUCGGUUAGAAACCUGUUCGCGAUUAGUCAAGUAACCUAAUUCACUUCUGCCUUGAACUCUUUCCGGGAAGUUAAGUUUAGCUUUGCUUCCUUUAAACCUAAGAGCUGCUUCGUCAUAGGCAAGUGCUGCUGCUUCAGCUGUAUCAAAAGUACCAAGCCAUACCCUAGCUGCCUUGUUUGGGUCCCUGAUCUCAGCUGCCCACUUUCCCCAUGGUCUUUGCCUCACUCCUCUAUAGUGUCUUCUCCUAACAUUCCCUACACAAGCAUUAAACAAGUAUGUGCUAGCUUCUUAGAGUUAGUAUGCAUGAUAUUCACUACAAACCGCACUUGGUAAUAACUUAGAUACUGAGAUUAGGGCCAAAAAAUAUUCUAAUAAGUAAAUUGAAUUUUAAUUAUAAAAAAGACAAGAUCCAAGUAGAAGAAAAGAGUUGAGGUUAAUUAGGUAUAAUUCAUGGAAAAGUGAGAAUUAAGCACAUCAAUCAAAUAUCACUCGCAUCAUAUCCCCAAGUCUUUAUUAGAUAUUAAGAGAAGAAAGAGCAAGUAAUUAAAACCAAUAGAUAUGAAAUAAAAACUGAAGGUAUAAAAAAAACAUAACAGCAACUCAAAUAUAUAGUUUGAGACCAUUCAUGCAAAUGUAAAAUGUUAGAUAAGAAAAUAAUAAAUUGUUUCUGAGUAUGAGCAUAUAUGUGAUGAAUCACCUUGAUCUUGAAUCGGUUGUGGUUGAUCAUUGUGUUGUGCGUUUGAUUGUGCUAAUGAUACUGGGUUUGCAUGCACUUGAACUGGAUUACUUUGGCUACUCCCGAUGACUUGAGCUAGGGCUGAAAUCAUUGCAUCCAUAUCUUGUUGAGAUCGAGCUGAGUAGACAGGAAAGACAUGAUCUUCCUCUUUCUCUUCCGAUUCAUUGAAUGAAAGGGGCCUCUUCCCAUGAUUUCGAUCCACUUUUGUGAAUCGGGUGUUAAGUUGUUCGAUAAACUUUGAUGGAUAGCUAGAGCAUGCAAGCAGUAAAUGAGAUUUAAUUUGUAGCUAAAGUGGCGUCAGAGUUACAUAUCAAUAAGAUGAAGAUAAGAAGCAGCUGAAACAAGAGGACAAGCAAGCAACACUGAGAAGAUGACAGCAUAUAUAGGGUUUGAAAUAACCGAUCGAGGCCUUUAUUUAUAUUUCUAUCAAUUAUAAUCAGGAUUGGUGUGAACAGAAGUCCCAAGCAACAGUGCCCACUGAUUAGUUUUAAGUACUACA